AAAACGCUCGGCGGACAAAUGACUUUAUUUUCAUUGAGGGAUUUGCAUUUGAUUUCUAAAAGUAUUAAAAAACAUUUCAUAUUUCUCUGCAAUAGUCGAAAUACAAAUCCGAAAAUACCUAAUGUUAUGUAUUAGGAAAAUAUAGUAAUUGAUUGACUCAUGUGGACAGAGACGGAUUUACACAAUUGCUACCCCUUGGCAAUUUUUUUUUUUCGGCCCCAUUAAACUUAUCAAUGAAAACGAAUUUUUAGGUACUUAUCUAGCAUGGUAUCUAUUAAAACAAAAACUAAUCAUAUAAACGGUUCCAAUCAAACAAAUAUUG